rnacentral:rRNA from 1 species
UACACGACCGUACCGCAAACCGACACUGGUGCGCGAGAUGAGUAUUCUAAGGCGCUUGAGAGAACUCAGGAGAAGGAACUCGGCAAAUUGACACCGUAACUUCGGAAGAAGGUGUGCCUUUAGUAGGUGAACCAUUUACUUGGGGAGCCCAAUGAGGCUGCAAAAAAUCGGUGGCUGCAACUGUUUAUUAAAAACACAGCACUCUGCUAAGACGAAAGUCGACGUAUAGGGUGUGACGCCUGCCCGGUGCUGGAAGAUUAAAUGAUGGGGUGCAAGCUCUUGAUUGAAGUCCCAGUAAACGGCGGCCGUAACAAUAACGGUCCUAAGGUAGCGAAAUUCCUUGUCGGGUAAGUUCCGACCUGCACGAAUGGCGUAAUGAUGGCCACACUGUCUCCUCCUGAGACUCAGCGAAGUUGAAAUGUUUGUGAUGAUGCAAUCUCCCCGCGGAAAGACGGAAAGACCCCAUGAACCUUUACUGUAGCUUUGUAUUGGACUUUGAACAGAUCUGUGUAGGAUAGGUGGGAGGCUUUGAAGUGUGGUCGCUAGAUCGCAUGGAGCCAACGUUGAAAUACCACCCUGGUGUGUUUGAGGUUCUAACCUAGGUCCAUUAUCUGGAUCGGGGACAGUGCAUGGUGGGCAGUUUGACUGGGGCGGUCUCCUCCCAAAGUGUAACGGAGGAGUUCGAAGGUACGCUAGGUACGGUCGGACAUCGUGCUAAUAGUGCAAUGGCAUAAGCGUGCUUAACUGCGAGACUGACAAGUCGAGCAGAUGCGAAAGCAGGACAUAGUGAUCCGGUGGUUCUGUAUGGAAGGGCCAUCGCUCAACGGAUAAAAGGUACUCUGGGGAUAACAGGCUGAUACCGCCCAAGAGUUCAUAUCGACGGCGGUGUUUGGCACCUCGAUGUCGGCUCAUCUCAUCCUGGGGCUGUAGCCGGUCCCAAGGGUAUGGCUGUUCGCCAUUUAAAGAGGUACGUGAGCUGGGUUUAAAACGUCGUGAGGCAGUUUGGUCCCUAUCUUCCGUGGGCGCUGCAGAUUUGAGGAAGCCUGCUCCUAGUACGAGAGGACCGGAGUGGACGAACCUCUGGUGUAUCGGUUGUCACGCCAGUGGCAUUGCCGAGUAGCUAAGUUCGGAAGAGAUAACCGCUGAAAGCAUCUAAGCGGGAAACUCGUUUCAAGAUUAGAUCUGCCGGGGCCUUGAGCCCCCUAAAGAGUCGUUCAAGACCAGGACGUUGAUAGGUCAGGUGUGGAAGCCAAAAAAAAAAG